UGGGGAAUAUUGCACAAUGGGCGCAAGCCUGAUGCAGCCAUGCCGCGUGUAUGAAGAAGGCCUUCGGGUUGUAAAGUACUUUCAGCGGGGAGGAAGGGAGUAAAGUUAAUACCUUUGCUCAUUGACGUUACCCGCAGAAGAAGCACCGGCUAACUCCGUGCCAGCAGCCGCGGUAAUACGGAGGGUGCAAGCGUUAAUCGGAAUUACUGGGCGUAAAGCGCACGCAGGCGGUUUGUUAAGUCAGAUGUGAAAUCCCCGGGCUCAACCUGGGAACUGCAUCUGAUACUGGCAAGCUUGAGUCUCGUAGAGGGGGGUAGAAUUCCAGGUGUAGCGGUGAAAUGCGUAGAGAUCUGGAGGAAUACCGGUGGCGAAGGCGGCCCCCUGUACAAAGACUGACGCUCAGGUGCGAAAGCGUGGGGAGCAAACAGG
rnacentral:rRNA from 1 species